AUUGAACGCUGGCGGCAUGCUCUACACAUGCAAGUCGAACGGUAACAGGCCGCAAGGUGCUGACGAGUGGCGAACGGGUGAGUAAUGCAUCGGAACGUGCCCAGUCGUGGGGGAUAACUAAUCGAAAGAGUAGCUAAUACCGCAUACGAUCUAUGGAUGAAAGCGGGGGACCGUAAGGCCUCUCGCGAUUGGAGCGGCCGAAGUCAGAUGAGAUAGUUGGUGGGGUAAAGGCUCACCAAGCCAACGAUCUGUAGCUGGUCUGAGAGGACGACCAGCCACAAUGGGACUGAGACACGGCCCAGACUCCUACGGGAGGCAGCAGUGGGGAAUUUUGGACAAUGGGCGCAAGCCUGAUCCAGCAAUGCCGCGUGCAGGAAGAAGGCCUUCGGGUUGUAAACUGCUUUUGUACGGAACGAAACGGCUCUGGUUAAUACCCGGGGCUAAUGACGGUACCGUAAGAAUAAGCACCGGCUAGCUACGUG
rnacentral:rRNA from 1 species